rnacentral:rRNA from 1 species
GACGAACGUUGGCGGCGUGCUUAAUACAUGCAAGUCAACUGAAGCAGUGGUAGCAAUAUCGCUGUGGAGGUGGCGCACGGGUGAGUAACACGUAGGUAAUCUGCCUUCAGGUCUGGCAUAACUCCGGGAAACCGGGGCUAAUAGCAGAUGAUGCAGCGGCUCGACAUCGAGACAGUUGUUAAAGCUAUGGCGCCUGAAGAUGAGCCUGCGUCUGAUUGGCUAGUUGGCGGGGUAACGGCCCACCAAGGCAACGAUCAGUAGCUGGUCUGAGAGGAUGAUCAGCCGCACUGGAACUGAGACACGGUCCAGACUCCUACGGGAGGCAGCAGUAAGGAAUAUUGCUCAAUGGGAGAAAUCCUGAAGCAGCAACGCCGCGUGAGGGACGAAGGGCUUUUGCUUGUAAACCUCUGUAGUGAGAGAAAAAAAUCCCAAUCUUUGGGACAUGAUGGUAUCUCAAAAGUAAGCCCCGGCUAACUACGUG